CUAGCGACUUCAGAGUUUGAUCCUGGCUCAGGACAAACGCUGGCGGCGUGCAUAAAACAUGCAAGUCGAACGGAGGAUAAGUGUUCCACUAGUUAGCCAUAUAUUGGAUAAUUAGUGGAAUACUUACCCUUAGUGGCGGACGGGUGAGUAACGCGUGGGUAAUCUGGCUCUAUCUGGGGGACAACAGUUGGAAACGACUGCUAAUACCGCAUAAGACCACAGAUACGAAGGUAUCAGGGGUAAAAGAUUUUAUUGGAUAGAGAUGAGCCUGCGUUUCAUUAGCUAGUUGGUGGGGUAAAGGCCUACCAAGGCGACGAUGGAUAGCCGAUCUGAGAGGAUGACCGGCCACACUGGAACUGAGAUACGGUCCAG
rnacentral:rRNA from 1 species